UACAGAGAGUGCAAACGUUGUUCGGAAUUACUGGGCUUAAAGCGCACGUAGGCGGCUUCUUAAGUCAGGGGUGAAAUCCUGGAGCUCAACUCCAGAACUGCCCUUGAUACUGAGAAGCUUGAGUCCGGGAGAGGUGAGUGGAACUGCGAGUGUAGAGGUGAAAUUCGUAGAUAUUCGCAAGAACACCAGUGGCGAAGGCGGCUCACUGGCCCGGUACUGACGCUGAGGUGCGAAAGCGUGGGGAGCAAACAGG
rnacentral:rRNA from 1 species